rnacentral:lncRNA from 1 species
UUUUUUUUUUUUUUUCCCCUCCUCUCUCUCCCUUUGGUAAUAUGACCAUUUUUUCAUUUUUCCAGAUUUGGAAAAACAGGAAUGUUUUCAGCCUUCAAGUUAGUGUUUAAGGAACAAGAACACAAAAGGCAUCUCUGGCCUUCAGGCACAAAUUUAGAACAUUAAACUACAUGCAGAAAGAAGCAAUAUGAAAUCUUGGGUGAGGAAAUCAAAACUGUCUAAGAAAUUUCACAGACUCAGAGAAUUUAAGGGCAGGGUGAAACGACAGCUCUCUGAGUUUGACUCCUGUUUGUGAAGGCAAUUCCAUUUUACCCGUUUCCAUUCCAUUACUAUGCUGAGAUCCACAGCUCUGUUCAGCUGAAGCAUUGCUUCCAGAAAGGUACACUGCUUUGGAGUGAGGGCAUCAGGAGGUGGAAAAUCAGCACUUUCCUUGACACCUAUUAAUCACACACACUGUUAAACAGCCCACAAGCUUCUCAUUUGAAUUUGCUGCUUUCCCCCUACUGCCCUUGGCUCUCAUUUUUACCUCUUUCCACAUUAUUAAAGAGUCCUUAUGUUGUGAUAACUUCCCACAAAGGAGUUCUUUGUGGAGCAAUCUACUCACCCUUGGUGCACAUAUCUGUCCAAACUGCACCAAGGUGUACCCCCAAACUGCUGUGCUGGAUUUCCUGUCACCUGUAGCACUUUACUGCUCUUCAUGUGGAUAAACCAAGAAAUACAGUGUGUAUUUUCUUGACACUUCCUAAGUCACUUGUUACAAGUAGAUACCUCAUUGUCUGGAGUUACCUAGAACCUGGCUCCAAAAGCUCCAGGAAGUCUCUCCUGCCCAGUCCACUUGCUCUGGUCUCACUUCCUGCAGCUAAUUCAGACUUCCUGUCCCAUGUUUCCAGUUUUUUAAAGUUUUGUUCCCCUGUAGAAACAUUUGGAGUAAAACAUUCAUCUAAUUUCCUUGUCUAACUUGAUCAAACUAUGAUUUAAAACAAAGGACUCCUUUUCAUUCCCAAUCUCAGACAGAAAGGCUUUCCUAGCAGAUGUGGAUAUUCAUGCACAGGUAUUAAAAACACACGUGAACAUUAAAAACAGUGAGAAAUUUUUCCAUUACAUACUCAAAUAUCACAAAUAUGAUUAAAUUUUUUGAUCAAGGUAACCUUUUAUCUGCUCCUGAAUUAUGAAAAUAAAAGAAGCAACACUUCUGUAAAAUCACUUUAGCUCCUGGUCCUUCAAGGAUUGAAAAUCCUGUCCAUGGACUGUGUGGGAAACUGACAGACUCAAGCACAUCAGCUCAGACACCAUCUCAGGGCAGGUCUGAGAGAGGAGGCUCUGCUGCCCUGUUCUGUCCUUGUUGGUUCCUGUUGCACAGCUUAGGUCCUUGUCAUUUCCUCUGCUCCACAGCUCCUGCCACACAUCUGGAAAUAACACACUUUUCCUUUAAUCUGUCACAGUAUUUAAGUCUCCUUAGAGGACAGAAGUGUCUGCCACAGGCAAACAAACAGCAAGUUGCUCUGCCGUGUUCAAAGCAGAUCCAAAAACCAAGUCCUUUUAAAAGAUGCUCAGAGUGAAAUGUCAGAGUUGGGCUCAGACAUUUUGGGAAUAAGUGAAGCAAGGAUUGAAAAGGCUGGCAGAACAAACAUGGGCAUGAUGUGGGGAAAAUAUUGCCUUGCAAUUGGGGAUAUGAAAAGUCAUUCUGCAGAGAAGACCAGAUUCCAUGUGUAAUGACUGCUUGUCUGAAUUUAGGACUCUGUGAUGCACUUAAACCAGUAAGGUGCACACUGGUAUCAGUGGGGUACAGGAGAUGUACAGGAUAUCCUAUUUACUUUUGUACUGCUGUAACUCACUCAGGCUUACAACCACCAUCAUUUCUCAGUUGAGGAAACAUUCCCAUAUUGACUGUUAAUCCUGUGCUUUGAUUUUCUUCUUUAGAGUUUUCCUUUUGUUGCUAUUCAUUCCUUUUCCUUUGGGAUUUUCCUUCCUCUGAUAACUCCUCUUCCUCCUCAUUCUUAAUUCUAAUUGCCAUCAAUCAAAGUUUUGCUAAGCAUUCCAAGUCAUGUAAUUGGAUUUUAGAGUUAACUAUUCAAAGAUAACUAAUGUCAUUCAGAAUGUUAUUUCAAGUUGCCUAUUUGUACAGUUCUGAAGAAAAUGCUGCAAAAGUGUACAAUGAGUUCAUGUUUAGAAUAUUGUAAUGGAUUUUCUUCUCUCCAGGGAAGGUGAUGGGUGUAACCACUGCAGCAAUACCAGCAAUUCCACAAUACUUCCUCUUAAAUAACUAGUUACAGCUUUUAGAAAAGCUUACUUUAUGCCAUGAGAGCACUGUCAGUUGAUUUCCUUGUGCAGACAGAAGCUUUGUAAGCAGGACAACAUGGCACAGGACCUGCUUUAAUGUAAACUGAAAGUCUGGAGAAACUGGAUAUAUCGUGGGUUUGUGCACUACAUCAUCUGGGGAAAAUGGAAACACUCCACUGACUCAGACAGGUCUUUUCUGGUCUCCUUUCUAUAAACCACACUUUUGGCUCUCCUCUGUCCCUAACUGUGAUAUUACAAACUUUUUGGCCUCCAGCUCUUUGUUCUAAUGAUUAAACAAGACUAACAUUUUUUUGAGGUCACAAUGAUAAUAUGAUAGUCCCUUUGAAGGGAUUCAGUAAAUAUAAUACAGCAGUAGUGCACUGUGGUAUUAUCAGGGCCUUUAUUUUGACUUUUGGCAAAAUUAUCAGUGAAGAAACUAUGUUUUUAAAAACUUAAAAUGUAUAGUGGGGGAAGAACCACCAAUAAUAACCAAAACAGAUUUAUAAAGCACAAGACUAAGUUUUCUUUCCUGACCACACUGGGCAACUACUAGAAGGAAUCCAUGUGUUAAGUGAUUCUUAGAAUCUGGCCUCUCCUGCCUAAGAUGGCCAUCGAAGUGGCUUCCAAAAGAACUACCAUAACCCUGACUCACUCUGAGAUUCCUGGUAAGCAGCUGAUUUUCAGUAGUUACUGCUGGCCAUGUGGGAUUGGCUCCAGCAUUCUUAGGCACCUAUAUGGAGAUCAAAAGAAACCCUUUUUUUGCUUCGUCUUAUGGACUAUAAAGAAUCUUAGAACACCAGGUUAAAUUUAGCCACUAUCUUUUAAACAUCCAAAGCUAGGUCAGGUCAGUUCCUAUGUCCAAAGUCUGCCCUACCUUUGAAUUAUACAUAUGUUAGAUUGCUAAAUGGACAUUAGGAUUUAAACUAAUCACUGCAUUAUGUCUACAAAAUCUGUAUGAUUAGAUUAGACUUGGACAGGAAAAAAAAAAAGAAAAAAGAAAAAGAAAGAACACUAACUUCUGUCAUGGACCCAGGAAGAGGUGGUUUGUCUCAGAAACGUCAGUGGCUCUUCCUGGUAUGACACCUCCUGUCCUCUGUCCUACAUCUGCCACACCAGCAGAAGCUGAUAAAUUGGCUCAGUCUCUGCUUUGACCCCACUUUUCUCCACAGGGCAGCAAAAUUCUUUUUUGCCUUUUUGUUGAGUAGCUGAUCUGCAAUCACCUUCCUAGGUUACAUUAGGAGAAUAAAGCCAGCCCAAUUAUUUUUAAAAAUCGUGCUUCUUUGUCUCUAGGAGAAAUCCAUUAUCCACAAAUGCAGAAAACUACCAUGUGAAUAUGCAAUGGGGUAAAGGACUGUGGAUGACAAAUGCUGAGCAAUUAUAUGAGCUCAGCGGAAGAAAUUAUGAGGAAAAAAGUCAGUGUAAAUUGUGAGCUCUGUGAAUGUGUCUUGUGUGUAUGCCCUGAAAGAGCAGGCAAGGGAGCAGCACAGGUAUUGGAAGGAUCUAAAUGCCAAGCAGAAAUGAAAACAUAUAACUGAAAAUGAUGAUAUAUGAAAGUGGCUGAGCGUAAAUAUAAGAAAACCCUUUUGUCUAGACUUGGGUGUCUUUAGUGAAACAAUGGAAAUCACCACAUGCAAUUAAACAGUGUCAAUUCUGGCACCCCUAACUGUACAUUUGGUAAGAAUCAAGGGCUGUCUGAGAUUAAUACGAAAGAUUUUGAGUUGUUUUCCCCCUCUGACCAUGAAGAUUGUACCUGUUGUCUUGCACACACAAGUCCAA